UCGCGAGUUAAGUAUGUCAUUGACAAAUACACUUUGUUAAUGGUGAAUAUUAUUGGAAUGGUCAAUGUUUUGGUUGUGAUCAUAUGGCGGAGGAAAAUAAAACAGCAACAUCUUGCCAUGAUAGUUUUUUGCUAGUACUCAUGUUGUUAAUACAUAUAAAACGGCUGGAAAUAUCUACCGAGUGAACAGAUUUGCCAGGUUUCCUGGCCAGUGGAACAUAGAAGACAUUCCUGCCUCAACACUGAUGCCCUGACACAGAUAAAAAGCAAAGUGACGAGAGUAACAAAAAAUCUAAGCUACAAAAGAUUGGAUUCCAGAUUGGAAGAAGGGAGCAUGGAGUAAGUAAAUAUAUUCAGAUAUUUCGGAGUGGACUAGUAGGUAGAUAGGCCUAUAAAAGAUGGGGUGAACCGUAGAAU